GACGAACGCUGGCGGUGUGCUUAACACAUGCAAGUCGAACGGUAAGGCCCUUUCGGGGGUACACGAGUGGCGAACGGGUGAGUAACACGUGAGUAACCUGCCCUCAUCUCUGGGAUAACAGUCGGAAACGGUUGCUAAUACUGGAUAUGAGCUUGCAAGGCAUCUUGUGGGUUGGAAAGAUUUUUUUUGGUUGGGGAUGGAGUCGCGGCCUAUCAGCUGGUUGGUGGGGUAGUGGCUCACCAAGGCUUCGUCGGGUAGCCGGCCUGAGAGGGGGACCGGCGAAAUUGGGAAUGAGAUACGGCCCAGACUCCUACGGGAGGCAGCAGUGGGGAAUAGUGCACAAUGGGCGGAAGACUGAUGCAGCAACGCCGCGUGCGGGAUGACGGCCUUCGGGUUGUAAACCGCUUUAGCCUGUGACGAAGCGUGAGUGACGUUAAUGGGUAAAGAAGCACCGGCUAACUACGUG
rnacentral:rRNA from 1 species